rnacentral:rRNA from 1 species
GAUGAACGCUGGCGGCGUGCCUAAUACAUGCAAGUCGAGCGAACAGACGAGGAGCUUGCUCCUCUGACGUUAGCGGCGGACGGGUGAGUAACACGUGGAUAACCUACCUAUAAGACUGGGAUAACUUCGGGAAACCGGAGCUAAUACCGGAUAAUAUAUUGAACCGCAUGGUUCAAUAGUGAAAGACGGUUUUGCUGUCACUUAUAGAUGGAUCCGCGCCGCAUUAGCUAGUUGGUAAGGUAACGGCUUACCAAGGCGACGAUGCGUAGCCGACCUGAGAGGGUGAUCGGCCACACUGGAGCUGAGACACGGUCCAGACGCCUACGGGAGGCAGCAGUAGGGAAUCUUCCGCAAUGGGCGAAAGCCUGACGGAGCAACGCCGCGUGAGUGAUGAAGGUCUUCGGAUCGUAAAACUCUGUUAUUAGGGAAGAACAAAUGUGUAAGUAACUAUGCACGUCUUGACGGUACCUAAUCAGAAAGCCACGGCUAACUACGU